rnacentral:tRNA from 1 species
AGGAUAUUAGUUAACUUGAUAACAUUUAAUUUGCAAUUAAAAAUCAUAAACCCAAAAUAUAUAUCUUA